rnacentral:rRNA from 1 species
CCUGGUUGAUCCUGCCAGUAGUCAUUGCUUGUCUCAAAGAUUAAGCCAUGCAUGUCUAAGUUCAAAUAGAUCUGAACUAUGAAACUGCGAAUGGCUCAUUAAAUCAGUUAGAGUUUAUUUGAUAUUGCCUUACUACUUGGAUAACCGUGGUAACUCUAGAGCUAAUACAUGCUAAAACACCUGACCUCUGGAAGGGUGGUAUUUAUUAGAUCCAGAACCAAUCACGAGGAAACUCGUGCUUUGUGAUGAUUCAUGAUAAAACUACGAAUCGCAUAACCUUGAGUUGGCGAUGAAUCAUUCAAAUUUCUGCCCUAUCAACUUUUGAUGGUAGGAUAUAGGCCUACCAUGGUGAUGACGGGUAACGGAGGAUUAGGGUUCGAUUCCGGAGAGGGAGCCUGAGAAACGGCUACCACUUCCAAGGAAGGCAGCAGGCGCGCAAAUUACCCAAUCUCGACACGAGGAGGUAGUGACAAUAAAUAACAAUGCAGGGCUUUUUAGUCUUGCAAUUGGAAUGAGUACAACUUAAAACCCUUAACGAGGAUCAACUGGAGGGCAAGUCUGGUGCCAGCAGCCGCGGUAAUUCCAGCUCCAGUAGCAAUGGUUCAUGCUGCUGCAGUUAAAAAGCUCGUAGUCGAAUUUUGGAAUGGAACGACUGGUCUGCCUUUUGGUGUGUACUGGUUGGUCUGUUCUUUUGUCUAGGGAACAUCUUUGCUCUUUAUUGGGUGGGGGUGGGACCUUGACUGUUUACUUUGAAAAAAUUAGAGUGUUCAAAGCAGGCUUAUGCCUUGAAUACAUUAGCAUGGAAUAAUGAAAUAGGACUUUGGUUCUAUUUUGUUGGUUUCUAGGACUAAAGUAAUGAUUAAUAGGGACAGUUGGGGGCAUUAAUAUUUUAUUGUCAGAGGUGAAGUUCUUGGAUUUUUGAAAGAUUAACUUCUGCGAAAGCAUUUGCCAAGGAUGUUUUCAUUGAUCAAGAACGAAAGUUAGGGGAUCGAAGACGAUCAGAUACCGUCGUAGUCUUAACCAUAAACUAUGCCGACUAGGGAUUGGUGAAUGUUAUUUUUAUGACUUCAUCAGCAUCUUCCGAGAAAUCAAAGUUUUUGGGUUCUGGGGGGAGUAUGGUCGCAAGGCUGAAACUUAAAGGAAUUGACGGAAGGGCACCACCAGGAGUGGAGCCUGCGGCUUAAUUUGACCCAACACGGGAAAACUUACCAGGUCCAGACAUAGUUAGGAUUGACAGAUUGAGAGCUCUUUCUUGAUUCUAUGGGUGGUGGUGCAUGGCCGUUCUUAGUUGGUGGAGUGAUUUGUCUGCUUAAUUGCGAUAACGAACGAGACCUUAACCUACUAAAUAGUAAUGCGAACCCUAGGUUUGCCAUUACUUCUUAGAGGGACUAUAUAAGUCAAUUAUAUGGAAGCUUGAGGCAAUAACAGGUCUGUGAUGCCCUUAGAUGUUCUGGGCCGCACGCGCGCUACAAUGACGG